AAUUACUCACACGCCUUUUUUUCUUUUUUUAGCUUCUUUAUAUAGAAGAGGCUUCCCUGUUUGUGAGAUAAAAUCAAUCGAAUAGUAAAGCCUCCCAACUGGGAGGCUUUUUUAUU
rnacentral:ncRNA from 1 species